UUUGAAACGUAGGCCGUCUCGGUACGGCAG
rnacentral:sRNA from 1 species